rnacentral:rRNA from 1 species
UGGGGGAUAUUGCACAAUGGGCGAAAGCCUGAUGCAGCGACGCCGCGUGGGGGAUGAAGGCCUUCGGGUUGUAAACUUCUUUUGCUCUGAACAAGGCGCACCAUGGGGUGUGUUGAGUGUAGGGGUUGAUUAGCGCCGGCUAACUACGUGCCAGCAGCCGCGGUAAUACGUAGGGCGCGAGCGUUGUCCGGAAGUAUUGGGCGUAAAGGGCUUGUAGGUGGCUGGUUGCGUCUGUCGUGAAAGCUCAUGGCUUAACUGUGGGUUUGCGGUGGGUACGGGCUGGCUUGAGUGCAGUAGGGGAGGCUGGAAUUACUGGUGUAGCGGUGGAAUGCGCAGAUAUCAGGAGGAAUACCGGUGGCGAAGGCGGGUCUCUGGGCUGUUACUGACACUGAGGAGCGAAAGCAUGGGGAGCGAACAGG